rnacentral:rRNA from 1 species
GCUCAGUAACACGUGGAUAACCUGCCCUAGGGAAGGGGAUAACCCCGGGAAACUGGGGAUAAUACCCUAUAGGUUWCAGAUGCUGGAAUGCUCUGUAACCCAAAGUUCCGGCGCCCUAGGAUGGAUCUGCGGCCGAUUAGGUUGUUGUUGGGGUAAUGGCCCAACAAGCCAGUAAUCGGUACGGGUUGUGGGAGCAAGAGCCCGGAGUUGGAUUCUGAGACACGAAUCCAGGCCCUACGGGGCGCAGCAGGCGCGAAAACUUUACAAUGCGGGCAACCGUGAUAAGGGAACCUCGAGUGCCUGUAAAUGCAGGCUGUUUAGGUGUUUAAAACGCACCUGGAGAAAGGGCCGGGCAAGACCGGUGCCAGCCGCCGCGGUAAUACCGGCGGCUCGAGUGGUGGCCACUUUUAUUGGGCUUAAAGCGUUCGUAGCUGGGUUGUUAAGUCUCUUGGGAAAUCUGGCGGCUUAACCGUCAGGCGUCUAAGGGAUACUGGCAAUCUUGGAACCGGGAGAGGUGAGGGGUACUUCGGGGGUAGGAGUGAAAUCCUGUAAUCCUCGAGGGACCACCUGUGGCGAAGGCGCCUCACCAGAACGGCUUCGACAGUGAGGGACGAAAGCUGGGGGAGCAAACCGGAUUAGAAWRASGSCGGGUAGUCCCAGCCGUAAACUAUGCGCG